AAAUGCGAUAAGUAAUGUGAAUUGCAGAAUUCAGUGAAUCAUCGAAUCUUUGAACGCACAUUGCGCCCGCCAGCAUUCUGGCGGGCAUGCCUGUUCGAGCGUCAUUUCAACCCUCGAGCCCGACUCUUUUGAGGACGGCUCGGCGUUGGGGGACGGCAGACUCCCCCCGGCAUCUCGCCGGGGACGCCGCCCCCGAAAUCUAGUGGCGGCCCUCCGAGGCGACCUCUGCGUAGUAACUUGUUCUCGCACCGGAAAGCUCAGAGCGGCCACGCCGUAAAACCCCAACUUUUUUCAGGUUGACCUCGAAUCAGGUAGGACUACCCGCUGAACUUAAGC
rnacentral:misc_RNA from 1 species